GACGAACGCUGGCGGCGUGCCUAAUACAUGCAAGUAGAACGCUGAAGGAGGAGCUUGCUUCUCUGGAUGAGUUGCGAACGGGUGAGUAACGCGUAGGUAACCUGCCUGGUAGCGGGGGAUAACUAUUGGAAACGAUAGCUAAUACCGCAUAAGAGUAGAUGUUGCAUGACAUUUGCUUAAAAGGUGCAAUUGCAUCACUACCAGAUGGACCUGCGUUGUAUUAGCUAGUUGGUGAGGUAACGGCUCACCAAGGCGACGAUACAUAGCCGACCUGAGAGGGUGGUCGGCCACACUGGGACGGAGACACGGCCCAGACUCCUGCGGGAGGCAGCAGGAGGGAAUCUUCGGCAAUGGACGGAAGUCUGACCGAGCAACGCCGCGUGAGUGAAGGAGGUUUUCGGAUCGUAAAGCUCUGCUGUAAGAGAAGAACGAGUGUGAGAGUGGAAAGUUCACACUGUGACGGUAUCUUACCAGAAAGGGACGGCUAACUACGUG
rnacentral:rRNA from 1 species